rnacentral:rRNA from 1 species
UUAUUUUUGUUUAAUUUUUUAUUUAUUGUUUGUAUUUUAAAUAGAAAUAACUUUUUUUUUAGUAUUUUUUAAAGAAUAAAUAAAAUUUAUUUAUAGUUUAUUUUACUGUGAAGGAUAAUAUUUAUAAACUUUUAAGUAAAAUUUAUUAUUUGUACCUUUUGUAUCAGGGUUUAUUUAAUUUAUUUUAUUUAUUAAUAAAUUUCCCGAAAUUAAAAGAUCUAUUAAACUUUUGUUUUUUAAUGUAACAAAAUUAUUUGUAAAAUUUUAAUAGGGGUUAUAUGCUAUUCAUUUUUAUAUAUCUGGUUUUUUGAUAAUUGAAUUUAAUUCAGAACUAUCUAAUUCCAACAGAUCAAUUUAUUUUUUUUGUUAUUAGAUAGUUUAAAUUUUAUAGGGAUAAGCUUGUAAUAUAUUCUAUAAAUAUAUAAUUUUAAUAAAUUUAGUAGGAUUAAAAAUUUUCAUCAUUUAUUUUGUUAUAAUUAAUUUUAUAAUAUAUUUAAUUUUUAUGUAUUUUAGUUUUUUAUCAGGAUUUAUUAUUUAAUUUUUGUUUAAUAGUAAUAAUGAUAAAAUUAGUAAAUUUUUUAUUAGGUAAUAUAUAGUAACUCGGCAAUAUUAUUCUUCACCUGUUUAACAAAAACAUGUCCUAAUGUCUUAAAAUAUUAGGUCUGGCCUGCUCAAUGAUUUAUAAUUAAAUAGCCGCAGUAUUUUGACUGUGCGAAGGUAGCAUAAUCAUUUGUCUUUUAAUUGAAGGCUUGAAUGAAUGGUCGGAUGGGGGAAUAACUUUCUUUAUAUUAUAAAAUUUAAUUUAAUUUUUAAGUUAAAAAGCUUAAAUUUUUAAGUGGGACGAGAAGACCCUAUAGAAUUUAAUUCUUUCUCUUUAUAGAAUAUUUUUUGUUUAUUAUUUUUUUAUUUGGGGGGGAAUUUUGUUGGGGUGACAUUGAGAUUUUUAUAACUCUCAUAUUUUAUUUUUUUAUUAAUUUUUAUAUUUAAAAUCCUUUAUUAUGGAAUUUAGAUUAAAUUACCUUAGGGAUAACAGCGUAAUUUUUUUGGAGAGUUCUUAUCGAUGGAAAAGUUUGCGACCUCGAUGUUGGAUUAAAAUUAGAUUUAAGUGCAGAAGCUUAAUGAUCUAGGUCUGUUCGACCUUUAAAUUUUUACAUGAUCUGAGUUCAGACCGGCGUGAGCCAGGUCGGUUUCUAUCUUCUUAUAUUAUUAUUGUGAAUUAGUACGAAAGGACCAUUUACAUCAAAUAUUUUGUUUAUAUUUUAGAAUAUU